rnacentral:lncRNA from 1 species
CAGCAACACAGCUCCUGUGGAUCAGCAAACACUCCUCUUAGUCUCAGGACCAUGAGAUUAAUGCAAGAGUGGAUAGACUCCUCCUCCUUCACCUUGCUGAUCCUGAACACCUACCUUUGGAUGGAGUAAAGGAGUGGGUCUGAACUGAGGUCCGGAGCUUUCACAUGCUGAAGAUGCAUCAGCAGCUGUGGAAGAGCAGUGACUUCCAAGGUGGGGUGGUAUCAGGCAGCUCUUGACAAGCAGUG